rnacentral:rRNA from 1 species
AAUGAACGCUGGCGGCGCGCCUAAUACAUGCAAGUCGAGCGAGAAGACGUAGCAAUACGUUUGUAAAGCGGCGAACGGGUGAGGAAUACAUGGGUAACCUACCCUCGAGUGGGGAAUAACUAGCCGAAAGGUUAGCUAAUACCGCGUACGCUUCUUGGACUUCGGUUCAGGGAGGAAAGCGAUACCGUGGGUAUCGCGCUCUUGGAUGGGCUCAUGUCCUAUCAGCUUGUUGGUGAGGUAAUGGCUCACCAAGGCUUCGACGGGUAGCUGGUCUGAGAGGACGAUCAGCCACACUGGCACUGCGACACGGGCCAGACUCCUACGGGAGGCAGCAGUAAGGAAUAUUGCGCAAUGGGCGAAAGCCUGACGCAGCGACGCCGCGUGGGGGAUGAAGGUCUUCGGAUUGUAGACCCCUUUCGGGAGGGAAGAUGGAAUGGGGUAACCCAUUCGGACGGUACCUCCAGAAGCAGCCACGGCUAACUUCGUGCCAGCAGCCGCAGUAA